GUGCAGCAGCCGCGGUAAUACCGGCAGCCCGAGUGAUGGCCGAUAUUAUUGGGCCUAAAGCGUCCGUAGCUGGCCGAACAAGUCCGUCGGGAAAUCCACGUGCUUAACACGUGGGCGACCGGCGGAAACUGCACAGCUUGGGACCGGAAGGCUCGAAGGGUACGUUCGGGGUAGGAGUGAAAUCCCAUAAUCCCGCACGGACCACCGAUGGCGAAAGCACUUCGAGAAAACGGAUCCGACAGUGAGGGACGAAAGCCAGGGUCUCCAACCGGAUUAGAAACCCUGGUAGUCC
rnacentral:rRNA from 1 species